rnacentral:rRNA from 1 species
GAAUUCGCCCUUAGAGUUUGAUCCUGGCUCAGGAUGAACGCUGGCGGCGUGCUUAACACAUGCAAGUCGAACGGGAAUUACUUUAUUGAAACUUCGGUCGAUAUGAUUUAAUUCUAGUGGCGGACGGGUGAGUAACGCGUGGGUAACCUGCCUCAUACAGGGGGAUAACAGUUAGAAAUGACUGCUAAUACCGCAUAAGACCACAGCACCGCAUGGUGCAGGGGUAAAAACUCCGGUGGUAUGAGAUGGACCCGCGUCUGAUUAGGUAGUUGGUGGGGUAACGGCCUACCAAGCCGACGAUCAGUAGCCGACCUGAGAGGGCGACCGGCCACAUUGGGACUGAGACACGGCCCAAACUCCUACGGGAGGCAGCAGUGGGGAAUAUUGCACAAUGGGGGAAACCCUGAUGCAGCGACGCCGCGUGAAGGAAGAAGUAUCUCGGUAUGUAAACUUCUAUCAGCAGGGAAGAUAGUGACGGUACCUGACUAAGAAGCCCCGGCUAACUACGUGCCAGCAGCCGCGGUAAAACGUAGGGUGCAAGCGUUGUCCGGAAUUACUGGGUGUAAAGGGAGCGCAGGCGGACCGGCAAGUUGGAAGUGAAAACUAUGGGCUCAACCCAUAAAUUGCUUUCAAAACUGCUGGCCUUGAGUAGUGCAGAGGUAGGCGGAAUUCCCGGUGUAGCGGUGGAAUGCGUAGAUAUCGGGAGGAACACCAGUGGCGAAGGCGACCUACUGGGCACCAACUGACGCUGAGGCUCGAAAGCAUGGGUAGCAAACAGGAUUAGAUACCCUGGUAGUCCAUGCCGUAAACGAUGAUUACUAGGUGUUGGAGGAUUGACCCCUUCAGUGCCGCAGUUAACACAAUAAGUAAUCCACCUGGGGAGUACGACCGCAAGGUUGAAACUCAAAGGAAUUGACGGGGGCCCGCACAAGCAGUGGAGUAUGUGGUUUAAUUCGACGCAACGCGAAGAACCUUACCAAGUCUUGACAUCCCUUGACAGGCAUAGAAAUAUGUUUUCUCUUCGGAGCAAGGAGACAGGUGGUGCAUGGUUGUCGUCAGCUCGUGUCGUGAGAUGUUGGGUUAAGUCCCGCAACGAGCGCAACCCUUAUGGUCAGUUACUACGCAAGAGGACUCUGGCCAGACUGCCGUUGACAAAACGGAGGAAGGUGGGGAUGACGUCAAAUCAUCAUGCCCUUUAUGACUUGGGCUACACACGUACUACAAUGGCGUUAAACAAAGAGAAGCAAGACCGCGAGGUGGAGCAAAACUCAGAAACAACGUCCCAGUUCGGACUGCAGGCUGCAACUCGCCUGCACGAAGUCGGAAUUGCUAGUAAUCGUGGAUCAGCAUGCCACGGUGAAUACGUUCCCGGGCCUUGCACACACCGCCCGUCA